rnacentral:sRNA from 1 species
ACCGCGGCCAUGGCGGCACCGCGGCAAAUCCCCAGCCACAUAGUGCGCCGCAAGCCCAGCUGCUCUACAAACUCGUCGUUCACCCGGACGCCGGUGCCCACCGUGUCUCUCGCGUCCCGCGAGCUGCCUGUCUCGUCGUGGCAGGUCGCCGAGCCGUCGAGCAAGAAUCUGUGGGAGCAGAUCUGCAAGGAGUAUGAAGCUGAGCAGCCUCCCUUUCCAGAAGGAUAUAAAGUCAAACAGGAGCCUGUGAUUACAGUUGCGCCGGUAGAGGAAAUGCUUUUUCAUGGCUUCAGUGCAGAGCACUAUUUUCCAGUUUCCCAUUUCACCAUGAUCUCACAUACACCCUGUCCUCAAGAUAAAUCGGAAACAAUCAACCCAAAAACAUGUGCUCCCAAAGAAUAUUUGGAAACUUUCAUCUUUCCUGUUCUGCUUCCCGGAAUGGCUAGCCUGCUUCACCAAGCGAAGAAAGAAAAAUGUUUUGAGGUCAGUUGUUUGGCAGGAUUUCUUUAUUUUAAGAUUCUCAAUCAUUCAUUAUUAUCAGAUGAUAGCUCAUUAUCUUGGUACCAUCAGGUUGUUCUCCAGAUGACCCCUUCGGGAGGGAAAGCCUGUGUUUGGGGUCACUUACCCAGUUCCAGCCACACCAUCUACUGUGCACAUACAUGCGCUGCCAUCUGUCUGGCCACUUGGACU